UUGAACGCUGGCGGCAUGCUUUACGCAUGCAAGUCGAACGGCAGCGCGGGGCAACCUGGCGGCGAGUGGCGAACGGGUGAGUAAUAUAUCGGAACGUACCCAAGAGUGGGGGAUAACGUAGCGAAAGUUACGCUAAUACCGCAUACGAUCUAUGGAUGAAAGUGGGGGAUCGCAAGACCUCAUGCUCCUGGAGCGGCCGAUAUCUGAUUAGCUAGUUGGUGAGGUAAAGGCUCACCAAGGCGACGAUCAGUAGCUG
rnacentral:rRNA from 1 species